UCAACCUUUCCAAUACAUGGUUUUCAGAAGUCCCAUCCCAAGUCUCCCACCUGUCAAAAUUGGUUUCACUUGAUCUCUCCUCUCGGAUUGAUUACUCUGGGCAAGUUACAAUUGACAAACAUGCUCUGGAGGGACUUGUUCACAACCUAACCGAGGUCAGACAUCUGUUUUUGGAUGGAAUCAACAUGACUUCUGUUAAUGCUCAUGUCUUCAUGAAUCUAUCCUCUUCUCUAAGGUCUCUCAGUCUUGCUUUUUGUGAUUUGCAAGGAAAAUUCCCAAAAAACAUUUUUGAUUUGCAAAACCUCAAUCUCCUCAACUUGAGAUACAACCAAUUGAGUGGACAAAUUCCAAGAUCAUUGGGGAACCUCUUGCAACUCACUCAUUUACACUUGUCGGGGAACCAAUUGAGUGGACAAAUUCCAUUGUCAAUUCUAAACCUAACGCAGUUGGAAUACUUGGAAAUAUCUGAAAAUUCUUUAGAAGGUUCCAUUCCAGAUGAGGUAACCGCUUUUCCUAAUCUAAUAUAUUUAUACUUAUCUGACAAUUUACUCAAUGGAACACUUCCGUCAUGGUUGUAUACUGCUCCCUGCUUAAAGGAAAUAUAUCUCUCUCAAAAUCAAUUCAGUGGGCAUAUCAAAGAAUUCCAAACCAAAUCACUAGAAUAUUUAUAUCUAGAAAAUAAUAAACUCCAAGGUCCCCUUCCAUCUUCAAUAUUCCAACUUCUCAAUCUUACCGGGCUCCUUUUAUCCUCAAAUAAUCUUAGUGGUGUCAUAGAGUUGAGCAUGUUCUCAAACCUUCCAAAUCUCAAAUAUCUUGACCUUUCAUAUAACAGCCUAUCCUUAAUAUCUAAUACUACUUCUACUGUUAAUCAUAUAUUGCCUAAUCUUACAGGCUUACAUUUGUCAUCUUGCAAUCUUAGUGAAUUCCCCCAAUUUUUGAAAGGGCUUAAAAGUUUGGAAAGCUUAGACCUCUCUUGCAACAAAAUUGAAGGCAAGAUUCCACAGUGGAUGCAAGAGGUGGGGAAUGUCUCUUUGACUUACUUCAACGUAUCUCACAACUCUUUGACAGAAGUUGAGCACUUUCCAUGGAAGAAUAUUGAUGUUCUUGACUUAAGCUCCAAUUUGAUCAGUGGAAAUCUUCCGAUUCCAGCUUCGACGAUCAGAGUCUUUCUGAUCUCAAAUAAUAGUUUCAAUGGAGAGGUCUCUUCUUUAAUAUGCAAUGCCAGUUCUCUUCAAAUUCUUGAUUUGUCCCACAAUAACUUGAGUGGAACAAUUCCGCAAUGUUUCGGAAAUUUGAGCGACAGCCUUGAAUUCUUGAAUCUGAAGAAGAACAAGUUUUAUGGGACGAUUCCUCCAACAUUUGCAGAGGGAUGCCAGUUGACUAAUUUCAACUUAAAUGGAAAUCUGUUAGAAGGGCCUUUGACACCAUCCAUCCUUAAUUGUAGAGGUCUGGAAGUGCUAGAUCUUGGUAACAACAAGAUCAAUGAUACAUUUCCUCAUUGGUUGGGAAAUCUUCCAUAUUUGCAAGUUCUUGUAUUGAAGUCAAAUCAUAUGCAUGGUUCUUUGCGUGUCAAUAGCUCCAAGUCUAGCCCCUUUUUCUCUAAAAUCCAAAUUUUUGACCUCUCAAGUAAUUAUUUUUCUGGACCCCUACCUGUGAGGUACAUCAACAGCUUCAAGGCUAUCAGAAAUCUAGAGAAGAUUCGUAGUACAGUGUCGUACAUGGGGGUGAAUGGUCGGAAUGGUAGUGGCUUCUAUACCUAUUCCAUUGGAAUUGUUAUGAAAGGACAAGAUAUGGAAUUGGUGAAAAUUUUCACCAUGUGGAUGAUCAUUGAUCUAUCAAACAAUCAGUUUGAAGGGGGUAUUCCAGAGGUUUUUGGAAAGCUUAACUUACUGAAAGGGCUCAACCUUUCUCAUAAUAACCUUAGUGGUGGUAUCCCCACCUCAAUAGGGAAUUUGACAAGUCUUGAAUGGUUGGACCUAUCUUCAAACAGGUUGUCUGGGACGAUUCCAAAUAGAUUGGCAGAUCUGGCAUUUCUUUCGUCCUUCAAUGUUUCUGAAAAUCAACUCCAUGGUCAGAUUCCUCAAGGAAAACAAUUCAACACAUUUGGAAAUGAUUCAUAUCAAGGGAAUAAGGGACUAUGCGGGUUUCCAGUCUCGAAAGGUUGCAACAUCAUUGAGCCAGCACCUCCAAAUGUGCUUGAAAAAGAUGGCUCAAAAUCAAACAUUACUUUUGGUUGGAAAGUGGUGUUGAUAGGUUAUGGAUGCGGAGUGGUGUUCGGAAUGUCCGUGGGAUAUGUUGUUUUCCAAACUGGUAAGCCGAAAUGGUUGGUGAAUUUGGUUGAAAUCCAACAUGAGAAGAUGCGAAGAAGAAAGUCAAAGGAUGGCAGUCGCAGCAAUGGACGAAGAAGGAUCUAGUUAGUGGAAAUGGUGUUCAAGUGUUGAUGUUGUAUCUUCAUAAUUUCUUGUUUUGAAGUCUUUCAAUUUUUUUCCUAUGGUGAAAGGUUGCAUUGCCAUGCAUCUGUCUUUAUUAUUGUAACAAUUCAUCUAUAUUUCAUUGCAUUACGUCCUAUAACAUUUUGUAUGGUUCAACCAUUUAUAUCUUCUUUCAUGACUUCCAUUUUUGAGUCUCAAUAAUCUCUGCAUUCAAGAUUUUGUCAGCUUAUUAAUUGGUGGAUCAAUAAUCUUCAUGCUCAUCUCAUCAUCUUUUUCUCGAGUUUCUUCUGUGUGGAAAAUAAUUUGACAUUCUGCAAAUUUCCACAAUGCUUGUGGAUUACCUUUGGUUAACAGCUAUACAUAUAAAGGAAGAAAACAAGACCAUGUCCAAAUUUCCAAAAAUUAGCCAUUGAUUUUUGAACAGUUAAACUUUCGUAUUCUAUUUUUUAAAAUUGUAAAUUCUCAAAUAAUGUAAAUUAGUCCUAAAACUCAAGUUUUGAAAUCUUUACAAUUUAACCCCUUAUAGUUUCAAACUUUACUGUUUUAUACUCAACUUUCUAAAUUUUCAUAUUUCAUGAUCAUAUAAUUUAGUUACUACAUCAAUAUUUGAGAUUUCACUACUCAAACCCUUACUUCAUUUCGGUCGUUACUUCAAUUUUAUCAAAUUACAUCAUUUUUCAAUUUGAAUGCAUUGAUGUGAAAUUGAGGGACCACUAAACAAUGUUGAUGAGAGUUUAGGCAAAAUUGGUGGAUCCGAUCUCCUUAGUAAUUUCUUUGUGGAAGUACCUACUUUCACAAUGCAAACUUGGAUAGUUUGUGGUGGACGAUGAUGAAUCAUUUCACAGUCAAACACAUAAUUUUUAAACACAAAAUUAACGAUAUAUUGAAAUCAUUAUUGAAAUUAUAAUCAAAAUUAAUACAUGUUCUUUUUAUUAGCUUAAGGGCGUAAAAACCCUUCAAAAUUUUCAAAAAAAAAAAAUUUAAGUCCUUUUUUUCUACUCAAUUGAGCACUUAAACUUUUAAAAUGUAUCAAAAAUAUCUUUACACUUCUUCAAAAAAAGCAAUUAAACCCCUUUUUUUUCCGCUCAAUUGGGUACUUGAACUUUCAUAAUGCAUAAAAAAAACCUUAAAUUUUUUUUCAAAGAAACAAUUAAGCCUCUAUUUUUUUCCCACUCAAUUGGGUACUUGAACUUUCAUAAUGCAUCAAAAAGGCCUUUAUUUUUUUUCAAAAAAGCAAUUAAGCCCCUACUCUUAUUAAAAAUUAGAAAAAAUCAUAAAAAUAAUAAAGUUCAAGUACCCAAUUGAGUGCCAAAAAAUAAAGUAGGGGCCUAAUUGCUUUUUUUGAAAAUGUUUGAGGGUCUUUUUGAUGUAUUUUGAAAGUUCAAGUACCCAAAUGAGUGCAUAAAAAGAACAGGGGUUUAGUUGCUAUUUUUGAAAAAGUUUGCACCCUUAAACCUCUUUUCUUUUUCUUUUUCAUAUGUGGCCUUGUUUGCUACAACUUAGUUGCUAAGUUAAAGGGAGUGAAUAGAGCACCAUUUUCUUCUUCUGCGUGGAAAAUUAAGUUGGCAUUAUGCCAAUUUCCACAUUCAUACAUACAAAGGAAGCAAGAGCAAGUCAAUAUACUUUGUAAUCUCAUCAAUUCUAAUUUUUAAAGUGUUGUUUACUACACACUUAGGGACCAUAUAUGUAUAUAUACAUUGCAGUCUGGGUCUUUGUCGUGUUUUGUUGGUUGGCUAUGGCCUUCUUGUUGUUUCCACUGUCUGCGGUGUUUGUUUCUAAGUCAUAUGUGGCCCUGUUUGCUACAACUUAGUUGCUAAGUUAAAGGGAGUGAAUAGAGCACCAUUUUCUUCUUCUGCGUGGAAAAUAAGUUGGCAUUAUGCCAAAUUCCACAUUCAUACAUAUAAAGGAAGCAAGACCAAGUCAAUAUACUUUCUAAUCUCAUCACUUCUUCUUUCUUUAGGGAGUUCAAGUGAAAUACAAAUUUUUUCACAUCCAAUCUCAUAAAUAAUCCGUCUUUGAACUUUCACCAAAAAAUAUUAAAUACCCAUUCACUUCAAUUCUACUAUUCUUAAAUCAUUAAAGUUUUGUGGAAAAUAUGCUUCUUGGAUAAAAUUAUUCAACACACAUGCCUUGAAUUUUAUGCAAAUAAAAUAAAUGAAUAUAGGCCACACAUGCUUUGAAUUUUUAAGUAGUCCAUAAUUUUGUUCGUUUGUGUGCAAAAUUCUACAUUGCUUGACAGCCAUACAUACUAAGUAAAUAGACACCCACAUUGUUUACAUAUUAUGAGGAAGAAGACCAAGUCAAUCUACUUUGUAAUCUCAUCAAUCUUAAUUUUUUCAGUUGUUUAGGGAGUUCAAAUGAAAUACAAAAUUUUGAAAAAAAAAUGUAUCCAAUUUUGUGAAUGAAAAAUUUAUGGUAAAAAGGAUUUGGUAUGGAUACUUCAGCCCGGGUAGCAAUACUCAGGGUAAGUUUAUCAAUACAUUGCUUUUGGUUGGAAAGUGGUGUUGAUAGGUUAUGGAUGCGGGGUAGUGUUUGGAAUGGCCAAAAUAUAGCAAUCGCAUCAGUGGAUGAAGAAGGAUCUAGUUGGUGCAAAUGAAGUUAAAGCAUUUCUGCCGUCUCUUCAUAAUUUCUUGUUUGGUAGUCUGUCAGAAAGUUUUUCCUAUGGUGAAAAGUUUGAGUUGCAUUUAUAAAAUUUCCACUGUCAAAAGAUUCGAUUGCACUGCAGGGUAACAUAUUUAAGAUUGGAUUACACUGUCAAAAGAUUGCAGCAACGAUGAGAUUAAUCCAAUUACAGGAAUUGGUAUCCUAAAUGGCUUUUUGGUACGUAGCUUCAUUGACGGUACAAACUAGUUAAAAUUUCCAGCAUUCAUGUGUUUGUUUUCCCUCAAGUAAACGUAGUCAAUACUGCAAAUGGUGUGGAAGUACUGUACAUUGUGGCCCAAAUGUCCAAAAUUUCCACAUUGCAUGUAAAUUAAGUUUGCGUGAGAGAGAUAGGAGGAAGCAACAGCAAGUGUGAAGUCAAUAGACAACUGAUAGUCUUAGUCUUUUUUUGUCGAGUUAAAGUGUAGUCAAUAGACAAUUGAUAGUCUUAGCCCUUUUUGUGGAGUUAAAAGUAUAGUCAAUAAACAAUUGAUAGUUAAAUUUGUAGCAUUCUUCUUCCUCUUUAUUCUUUUGUGUGGAAAAUUAUUUGGGACCAAACUUGACGUGUUAUAAGGAAGAAGACUUUGUAAUCUCAUGAAUGUUAAUUAUUUUACUUCUUUGGUAAAAAAAGUAACCAAUUUUAUGAAUGAAAAAUAUUAUGUGGUAAAAAGGAAGUAGUUGUUCAUCACUAACAAUAUGAUGAUUGUGGAAAUACAAAAAAUCCCAUAUAUGUGUUGAAUUCUGCAUAAUAUAAAUGUCCUGCAUUGCAUGUGAAUUCUGCAAUAGACCAAACUUUACGUGUUAUAGUCCUUUAAACUGAGUUAAUGAAAAGUAACCAUUCUUAUCAAAUUUAGUUAUACUCUUAAUUUAUAACAAAGGAAAGAGUAAUUUGAGUUUAACUCAAAGGUUAAUAUGUCAUCAAUGGGUGAUGGCGUGGCGCUACCAUGUCAGCGAUUAUUUUCUUCUUUGAAUUAAGGUGAUUUCACCAAUUUUAGUUUACUUUUUUACUUCAAUUUAGGUUUAUGCUUAUUAGCUUCAAAGAUUCUAAGUGGGUGCCACAAUCAAAGGGUGAGUAAAAAGGGUUAAAAAUGAUUUUUUUAAAAUUUUUUAUUUUUAUUAAAAAUUUAGAAUUAGAAUUAGACAAAUUUUGUAAAAGUUAAGGGCUAACUUUAUUGAUUUUUUUUUUCAGAAUUCGAACUAAAAUUACAUUUUGUAAAAAGAGCUAAAUUUGUUGAGUUUUUUAUAUUUAGGAUCAAAUUGAUAGAAUGUGUAAAUAUUAGAGGUUAAAUUUGUUAUUAGAUCAAUAAAAAAACCCACAUUAGCUUUGCGUCACUCAUCUAACGACAACUAAAGGGAGAGUUAUUAAAAUAUUUAAUUUCAAAAAGUUUAGCAACUAAAUUGGAAAAUUUAAUAGUUGGGUGACUAUUUUUGCAGUUUACUACUUUUUUGGUCACCUGACUAUUAAGUGACACUUUUUAGUUGGUAUAAUAAUAAUUUUAGUCCUCAAUUUUUAUACUUUCUGUCAAUUUGACUCUGAUUAUAUAAAAUGAUUACAAAAGUGAAAUUCUUUUUAAAAUUUACAAAAUUCUAAAAAUUAAAAAUUAAAUGAAAGUAGAUAAAAAUUUCAAAUAUAAACAAAGUGAGAGAAAAUGAGGGAAAUAUUAUUUUUAAACCCUCCAACUUUUCUUUGUAUUAUCGUAAAGAAAUAUCUAAUAUCCAUUCUUUUAGAAAACAUAGAAAAAAGUAAAAAAAAAAAAGAUUAAGUAAAAUUAUCUGUAUAUAAUCUGCUUUUAUAAUUUGGGUUUUUAAAAAUAAAUUUAAAUGAAUUGAAAAUUCGAAUUGAGUUUGAAAAAUAAAAUUUUGUGGUAUAUUUUAUAUUUUUGCUAGAAAAAUGGCAUCAAAGUUGAUUUUGUAAGCUUUUGUAAUAUCAGUUACGGAUGUUCUUCAAGGGCAUGGAACUCAACUUGAAAAUUUUACUAAUUUGGUUGCAAAAAAACAUUGAGGAAGCAUAUAAUGAUCUAACCUUUUUUGUUUUGUUUUGUUUUUAAUUUGUUAUGGGAUUCUAUUGAAUGAUAAUUUUUUUUUAUUUCCCAUACAUAUUAGUUCUUCAAAAACAACAUAUUCGAGAUUUUAUUUUUCUAGAAUUUUUAUAUAGAAGUUUAUAUUUUUUAAAAUAAAUUUGAGUUUUUUUUAGAAUUUUUAUAUAGAAUCGAGGUAAAUUGGCAAAAAAAAUUAUAAAAACAAAAUACUAAAAUUGUUAUUAUAGCAACUAAAAAGUGUCAUUUAACAAUAGGGUGACCAAAUUGUAACUUUUUUAGUUAAGUGACCAAAACGAAGAUUUACCCAUAGUUUAGUGGCUAAUUAUGUAGUUUACCCUUUCAUAAUUAAAAAAUAGUUGUUAAGUUUUUCUUGUAUUAGAUAACAAUUUAGAUGGUAAAAACCCUCUUUAGUCCCUCUCAAUUUUGAUAUUAAGUAAAAUUGUCCAUUUAAAAAAAAAAUCAAAGCAAUUUAAUAUUUGUUAAUUUCGAAAGUGAGCAACUAAGGACAAUUAAUCACAAUGUCAAUAUUUUCCAUCAAUUGUACAUAUUUUUAUUGGUGUAAUAACAAAUUUAGCUCUCAAAGUUUACACAUUCUGUCAAUUUAGUCUUGAUUUAACAAAUUUAACCCGCAACAAUUACAUAUUCUAUUAACAUUGACACAUAAUAUAUAAACAUUGAGAGCUUAAUUUUUUAUUGUAUCAAUAAAAAUUAUGUACAAUUUACAUAAAGCAUUAACACAAUGAUUAAUUGUCCUUAGUUGCUCCCUUUCAAAAUUGAUCAUGAUUAAAUUGCUCUAAUUUUCUGAGAGGAACCAAUUUGUUCAAUAUAGAAAUUGAGAGGGACGAGAAAUGUGUUUUUUAUCCAUUUUAGAUACCAACAAGUGUUUGGCAUAGUCGCAAGACAUAUUACAUUCUCAAGGAGAGAAUGCGUAGUCAAACGUUGGAGAUAUCAAUGUUGUGUGGGGUAUCCAAGGAUCUCGAACACGAACUGUAAAACAUAUAUAAAGAAUAAAAAAAUAACAUCUUAAUUUAAAUAAUUAUAAAUUUUAAUUUGAAAAAAGUAUUUUGAGAAACAUAAGUUUUAGAAGUAGUAAAAUUGAAUCGAUAAAACAUGUCCAUUAUAUCAGAAUCAUAAAAAUACAACUUAAUUAAUUUGAAUUUAAACUUAACUCAACUCGACUUGAUUAUAAAAACUGAUAAUUUGAAUUCAAAAUGACAUGAUCUUGAAAUGAUUUGAAUUAAUUGUCAGACCCGAACGACAAAACUCGAAAUGAUGCAAUCCAAAAACACAAAUCAAGUGAACUAAACUACGAAAAAAAAAACCUUACACUGACUCAAAUCCAAAAUAGUUUAAUCCUAAAAUAACCUAAAUUUUAUAUAAUAAAAACUCGAAAUAACCCGAAAAUUUUUAAAUUAAAAUUGAUCCGACCCAAAUUCACACCACCUAAAAUCAAUCGUAACCACCUAAUUAAAAAGCAUGAAAUGAAAUGAUGUAAAGAGAAAAUCAGAGAAAACCAAAUAGAAAGUAACAAGCCUUUUUCAGAAUUGAAAGCAAAUUCCGUACAUUCACGACAUGCAUAAAACAACAAUGGUUUAUAGAAUUUGAGUUUUAGUCCCUGUACUUUAAAAGUUAAUUUUUCUUAAUUUAAAAACUUUAGUUUAAUCAUUUAUGUUGGUUGUAGUUUCCGUUAGCUUAAUCAACAUGUUAAAUUACUAAAUUUUGACAAAAAAUACUUACGAGUUUAAUGAUUGUACCGAGAUUUUUAAAUAAAAAAGUCGGAAGACUAAUUUCUAACCUUUUAAAUAUAGGGACUAAAAGCAUCUUUUAACUUUGAUAUUAUUAUUAUAAGCAGGGAUAAUGUCACCUUUGGCAUCUGUACUUUCAUAAAAUGUCUAGUGGUACAAGUACUUUGAAAAUAUAUAAUGUGGUACCUGAACUAUCAAUAGGUGUUAUUAUUAUGGUACAUGUACUUUGAAAAUGUUUAAUGUGGUACCUAAACUAUCAAUAUAUAUUUUAUUAUGAUACUUGAUAAAGACGGACUAUGGUGGCUUAGGGGGCUCUUUGUCCCGCCACCCUUGCAAAAAAAAAAAAAAUCGAAGAAUUUUGUUUUUUCCUUUAAAAUUUUUAGAAAAUUUCAAUUAGGCCCUCAAAAUUUUUGAAAAUUUUCAUUAUACCUUUUAAUUUUUUUGAAAAUUUUAAUUAAGCACUCUUAAAUUUUGAAAAUUCUCAUUGAUCUCACAAAAAUUUUAAAAUUUUUUAUUAGACCCCCAAUUUUUUUAAAAAAAAUCUUAUUAAACCAUUAAAUUUUUAGCAAAUUUUACCUGCCCCCUCCCCCCCAAAAAAACCUAGUCCCAACUACUAGUAUCCGCCAUUGUUACUUGGUAUUAACACUGUUAGAAAAUUGCUAAAUCAACCAAUAAAAAUUUGACACAUAGAACCCUUUUUUUAAUUAUCAAGUCCACGUGGAUAAUAUAAUAGUGAAAAAAUAAAUAAAAAAUAAUUAAAUGAAAUUAAAAAACAAAUAACUAAACAUAUGGUUAAUAAAAAAAAACCCAUACUUUCAAAGAUAAUAAAAAAUAUUAUUUAAAAAUCAAUUGAAAAUAUUAUUUUAAAAGGAAAACUCUUUGAAGAAGAUGAUCAUUUGCUUAAAUGGAGAAUAUAAUAUUUUUGGUUAUGUAAGUUUAGUAUUUACUUCUUUUUUAUUAAUCAUAUGUUUAGUUUUUUUUUUAAUUAAUUUAAUUGUUUUAUUUAGUUUUUCACAUAAUGUUAUUUUACACAUGCGGACUUGAUGAAUUAGAAAAAAAAUAUUAUGUGUCAAAUUUUCAUUGGUUGGUCUAAUAAUUCAUUAACGGUGGAUUUGUUCUACAUUGAUGACAAAGAUGUGGAGUUUAAAGAAGUAAGAACUUAUCAACAAUAUUCGAGGUUCUGUUAUAUGUUACCUUAUUAAAAAAGUCAUCACUUAAAUUCUUCUAUGUUGCCUUAUGUAUGUAGGUUCUUGAGUCACCUUUGCCAAAAGCACCGCUUGAUACAUCUGUUACAUCCCACUGGCUUGCGAUUGAAGGCAUUCAACCAGCAAUUCCAGAAAAUGCUUCAAUUGAAGGUACCGUCUUAGCUAACCUAAAUAUUCUCUCGAAGCUAUUUGUGUUGAAGACUCUCAUGGUUCAUGUUCUUUUCUGGUUUUAUCACUUUAAUCUAAUACGACUUAUCGUCAUUUCUACACGGAAUUUGUAUUUUGCUUUCCAUGCAGCACCUUCUGAUGGUAAAAAGGCUGAAUACAAAAAAGAUGGGCUUUCCGUUGAUGUCAAAUUACCUGUUAAGCAUGUAUUAUCUAGAGAGCUUCAAGUAUGUUGUACAUCUUCAGCAACAUUUUUCUGUUAAAAUACAUUUUGCACAGAAUGAUAUUAAAAGACUAAUUUGGUUGUCAUGCAGCUUUACUUUGACAAGAUCGUGGACAUUACCAUGAAUAAAUCAGUCUCAAUUCUCUUUAAACAAGCAUUACUGAGUUUGGCAACAGACUCGGGAUUACAUCCUUUAGUUCCUUAUUUUACAUAUUUUUGCGGAUAUCUCAUACCUGAUUAUAUAUGUGUGUUGCAAAGAACUUUUGGUUGGUUAUCUCGAGCUUACAUUUUUGCCACAUUUAUCUCAGGUUGCACGGAGUAAUUUCCCUCUCAUGUUUGCUUUGAUGCGUGUUGCCCGGAGUCUUCUCCAGAAUGAACACUUACACAUAGAACCUUACUUGAGUUUAUUAUUUCAAUCAUUUAGAAGUACACGAACUAAUGCAAAUAUGCUAGUGGUUUAUUUUCCACCUAUCUGAUUUUUUAAAAUGUUCUUCAGUUACACCAGUUGAUGCCAUCUAUUAUUACCUGCCUCGUUGCAAAAAGGUUAGGAAAUAAAUUCACCGACAAUCAUUGGGAACUUAGAAACUUCGCAGCAAAGCUAGUGGCAUCAUUAUGCAAAAGGUGAGGAUUUCUUUUCUUUUGGACUUAUACAUGCAUAUUCGUUUUUAUGAAUCUCAGGUGUCUGAUUUUUUAGUUAUAAACUUGGAUCUAUUCUUCAAAUCAUGUGUAUAUCAUUUUUAUGCUAUUUCACACAUGCAAAACAAAUGGUGCGAGCGUGCAUGUUAUAUGCAGAAUGCAUAGAUUAAUUACAUGUGGAUCAUUAAGCAUGCCUAUGUUUGACCAUUGUGUGUGGCUACUUUUUUUUACAUGAUCCAAUUUUCGAUAUGCUUUGCUUUUAGGUUGAAUGCGGAAAAGAUUAGAACUUAGUUUCCAGCAUAAUGAUUUGUCUUGGAUAUGCAGAUUUUUACAUGCAUUUCUUACAAGUCAAUAUUUUAUAGAUUUGGGCAUGUUUAUCACAAUCUUCAGCCACGUGUGACAAGGACACUGCUCCAUGCUUUUUUGGACCCAACGAAAACAUUUCCCCAGCAUUACGGAGCAAUUCAAGGGUUAGCAGCCCUUGGACCCAGUGUGGUAUAAUUCUAAUCUCAAAUAUUUACUAGCAACACAAUAAGAUACUUGUUUGUGGGAUCAACUGGUCAAAGAUAUUGCAAUGAUAGCCAUCUUUUUAAGCCCAUUUCUUUCAGAAAACUGUUUUGUCACUCUUUUCUGCAAGAUCCGAAGAAAGAAAGAACUUGGAAAUCUAUAGUCCAAAAGUGUAAAUAUGCGGUUUCUCUAUAGGUAUCUUUAUUAUGGCAUCUGUACAGUUUGUCUUUCAUAUGUUUGGCUAACGCUUCUUCUUCCAUGUGUAGGUUCGUUUACUUAUACUACCAAAUCUUGAAGCGUAUUUGCAGCUUCUUGAACCUGAAAUAAAAAGACACGAGGCCUGGUGUGUUUAUGGGGCCCUGCUGGUAAGUUCCACAUCAAAUUUGGUACCAGUUUAUGAGCAUCGUUUCAUUUAUUUGCUGUAGAACUAACAACACUGCAUAAAAUUUCCACUAACAGCGUGCAGCUGGACUGUGCAUGUAUGAUCGGCUUAAAAUGUUCCCCAGUUUGCUAGCACCCCCAACUCGUCCCGUUUGGAAAAGCAACAACAAAGUUGCGACAAGUAUGAUUUCUUCGAACCAUCAUAUUUACACUUAAUCCACAAGUCUCUUCUCCCCCUUUACGAUAUUCCUUUUUCUGAUCAACCAAGAUAAACGAAAAGCAAGCACGGACACCUUGAUGCAGCAGCAACAACCUGCCAAGAAAAUAGCAACUGAGAGUGCAAUAGGUAUGAUGCCAAUAAAUUCCAUGCAAGCUGAUUUACAAGGGUCAGUUAGCGGCUUUUCUACCACCGUAGGAGGUUCCAAUAUCGGUGUAUCAUCAAUGUCACGGCCGUUAUCAAACUAUAACAUGCUUGGAAGGGAGGCUGGGGGUCGAGUUUCAAAGACAUCAACCGUUCUAGCUCAGGCUUGGAAGGAAGACACAGACGCAGGGAACUUGUUAGCAUCAUUAUUUGAACUUUUUGGUGAAAGUAUGUUAUCAUUUACUCCCAAACCUGAGCUUUCAUUCUUCCUUUGAUUGAAUUUCACCUCCAAAAGCUAUAGUUUUUGAAGGAAUUUGUGUAAAUUAUCCCCAUAGUUUUUUUCAGUCUUACUGUGUUUAUCUUUAUAAGUCUUCUUUUUUUCCUUGCUCAUAAAUGUAUUGUAGUUAUCAGAAAAUAUAUUCUACUUUGGAUUUUGUUUAUAUUAAAUUUUAGGUUAAAUUCUGCUAUUAGUCUCUGUAUUUACGAAAAUGAUGGAUUUAGUCCUUAUACCUUAAUUUGAUCAAUUUUAGUCAUUGUAUUUUUUGAAUUGGUCAAUUUUAAACUAUUUACUUUUUGAAGUUUGAAAUUUUAGUCUUGAUCCAAAUAAUAAUAAUAAUUAAAUCUGCUUAUUUAAAUUCAAUUAUUAGUUUUGUAUUAUGUAGAUAGUUAUAAAUUUAGGGUGGGUUUGGAUGGGCUGUGCUUUUACCUGCAGUUAGUGUAAAAAUAGCGGCGGUGGUGAGAUUAGAUAUCCAAGGUACCUAAUUUUUAUUUUGGCCAUAAGUACUACUAAAACUAUUCUUCCGUUACCCAUUUUAUACCAAAAUGUUAUAUCGGCUAAAAAGAUUCCAACAAAUAAUAGAUUGUAUGUCAUAUAAACUUUUUUAAAAAAUCAUUAAUUAAUUAAUUUUUAUAUUUUUCUUUCUUAUUCCUUUAUAAUGUUUGACAAUGUCGAUAAUGCUUGAAAUUGGCCCACUUGAGGUCGAAACGCUGGUGAUUAAUUUUGGUUUUGAAUUUCACCACCUACUUCUCUGACCAGAGGGGAUAGAAAAAGUUCUUUCAUCGAUCAAAACUAGUAUUUUCAAAAACAGACUGAUUCUACGGGUUGGAUAGGAAAUCGGUUUGGAAAUAGGGGUUGAAUCGAUUGACUUGCGAGCAAAAACAAAUCGGUUGAACUAAGCUAAAAAAACUGGUUGAAUAAGUUCUCUCUUUUUAUAUAUAUAUAAAUAAUAAUAGGCUUUGUUUUUACUACAUGUCAAUUUUUAAUUGGUUAAUUUUUUUUUCAUAUAAAUUGAACAAUUUGACUAAUGACGGAGGUACCAAAUUAUAGUCUAGGUACCAAUUUAUGGGUUAAGCCUAUUUAUAAAAUAGACUUUUGACAGUUUGACUAAUGGCGGUAGUAACUUGGGAAAAAAAAGUAGUUUAUGUACCACUUGUGACAAAAAAUAAGAUUAGGUACCAACAUGGGAAAAUGAGUAUAAUUUAGAUACCGAUUUAUGAGUUAAGCCUAAUAUAUUUGUCGCAUAAUUUUUUGAAAAUAACAGAACUUAAUAAAUUUAACGGUUAUUGUUUGGUGAUUACUAAAAUUUUAAAAUUUGAAAAGUACAUGAACUAAAAAUGACCAAAUUAAAAUAUAAAUAUUAAGUCCACAACUUUUGCAAAGUACAAGGACUAAUUGCAGAAAUUAACCUAAAUUUCAUAUGGGUCAAUUACAAAAAUAAUCACUAAACUAUCCCUUUGGUUCUAUUCUAGUCACUCAACUAUAUAGGUGCUCAUGAGCUUGGCCAGGUCAGGCCUAAGUAAGGGUGAGCAUUCGAUUGAAUCGAAAAUAGGGUUUGGGAUAGAUGGGAGGGGAAUAAAAGUUUUAGGGGAAAAGUGGGAGGGAGUAAAAAUUUUGGGAGAAAAUAAAAGGUUUUGAGGGUUUUGGGGAGUAAAAUAUUGAGAAAAAAUAAAUAGGAGAGUAAAAUUUUGGUGGGAAAUGGAUUUUGGGUAGAUUGGGGGGUUGGGAGGGGAGGGGAGUAAAAGUUUUGGGGGGAAAGUGGGAAGGAGUAAAAGUUUUGAGGGAAAAGUAAAAAAGUUUGGGAGUUUGGGGUAAAAAUGUAAAAUAUUAUAGUUUGAUAUUCGAAUUAUUCGAAUUAUUCGAGUUAUUCGAAUUCGAAAACUCAACUCGAUUCGAACUCGAAAUUCGAAAAAAAAUUCGAGUUGAUUCGAAUAACUCGAUUCGUUUAACUCGAAAUUUGAAUUUUUUUCAAUUUUUUCGAGUCGAAUCGAGUUUUGCUCACCCCUAGUUGCAAGUGCAACUUGCGUGGUGGCUGCCAGAAGGACUGAAUCGUAAAUGUAGCAAAAGUUUUGGGGCAAAAAUGUAAUUUUGAGAAAGUUUAGGGUCAAAAUAUAAUUUUAAAAAAUAUUAAGGGUUAAAAUAUAAUUUUAUAAAAAUUUAAGGGUCAAAAUGAAAUUUUAGAAAAGUUCAGAGGUCAAAAUACAAUUUUUAAAUUUUUUUUAAAAAAAAAAACACGAAAUUAUUCCCACAAAAUUAAGUGAUUACACGUAACUUUUCAAUGUAAAAGAAAAAAAAGACUGUAACACCAAUGUUGUGGUGUUAUUUGUUGCCUAUAAAUACCAUUCCUAUUCUUCAUCUUCCUCUGCAAACAUAACAUGGCCCCCUAUCUCUUUCUCUGCCUAUUCCUCUUCUUUCCCCGUCUUUAUGCUUCUUUUUCUUCUUCAGGAUAUCAGUCCUGCUCUUCAUUAAUCCAGUUUAAGGACUCUUUUUCCAUAACAGAGGAUGCUUCUUCUGAUUGCAAUGAGAUUGCUGGCCUUAAAUCUUAUCCCAAGACAAAUUCAUGGAAGGAGGGUACAGAUUGCUGCUCAUGGGAUGGGGUCACUUGUGACCACCUAAAUGCUCAUGUUAUUGCCCUUGACUUGAGCUGCAGUUGGCUAUAUGGCAACUUCCCUUCCAAUACCACUCUCUUCCUUCUUCCUCACCUUCAAAAACUCAACCUUGCCUACAAUGAUUUUAAUCUUUCCAAAAUUCCAUCCGAGUUCGGUCGGUUUACAAGCCUAUUCUACCUCAACCUUUCCCAUACAGAGUUUGAAGGAGAAGUCCCAUCCCAAGUCUCCCACCUGUCAAAAUUGGUUUCACUUGAUCUCUCCUCUCGGAUUGAUUACUCUGGGCAAGUUACAAUUGACAAACAUGCUCUGGAGGGACUUGUUCACAACCUAACCGAGGUCAGACAUCUGUUUUUGGAUGGAAUGGACAUGUCUUCUGUUAAUGCUCAUGUCUUCAUGAAUCUAUCCUCUUCUCUAAGGUCUCUCAGUCUUGCUUAUUGUGAUUUGCAAGGAAAAUUCCUAAAAAACAUUAUUGAUUUGCCAAACCUCAAUCUCCUCAACUUGGGACGUAACCAAAACCUCAAUCUUGAUCCUUUGAAGUUCAAUCGGAGCAGCAAUCUCGAACAUUUGGAUCUGUCGUGGAUGUCCUUCUCUACAGAAUCCGUUAAUUCAGUUGAUAAUCUACAGGCCUUAAAGUACUUAGAUCUAUCAGGAAAUUCUUUCUUUCAAGGAUUGUCUGUCUCAAUCACAAAUUUAUCAUCUUUGGAGCAAUUGAUAAUUUCAGGCGCAAAUUUUUUUGGAGGAUUGCCUGACUCGAUGGGGAAUCUUGUGUCCUUGAAGUUUUUAUUUCUCUCCGAUUCCAACUUUUCAGGACCGCUUCCAAGAUCACUGGGAAACCUCUUUCAACUCAAGUGUUUAGACUUGAGAUCAAACAAAUUGAGUGGACAAAUUCCAUUGUCAAUUCUAAACCUAACGCAGUUGGAAUACUUGGAAAUAUCUGAAAAUUCUUUAGAAGGUUCCAUUCCAGAUGAGGUAACCGCUUUUCCUAAUCUAAUAUAUUUAUACUUAUCUGACAAUUUACUCAGUGGAACACUUCCGUCAUGGUUGUAUACUGCUCCCUCAUUAGACAGUAUAGGUCUCUCUCAAAAUCAAUUCAGUGGGCAUAUCAAAGAAUUCCAAUCCAAAUCACUAGAAUUGAUAGCGUUAGAGAGUAAUAAACUCCAAGGUCCUCUUCCAUCUUCAAAAUUCCAACUUCUCAAUCUUACCCACCUCUCUUUAUCCUCAAGUAAUCUCAGUGGUGUCAUAGAGUUUCGCAUGUUCUCAAACCUUCCAAAUCUAAAACUUCUUGACCUUUCAUACAACAGCCUAUCCUUAGCAUCUAAUACUACUUCUUGUGUUAACCAUAUAUUGCCUAAUCUUACAGACUUACGUUUGUCAUCUUGCAAUCUUAGUGAAUUCCCCCAAUUUUUGAAAGGGCUUAAAAGUUUGAAAAGGUUAGACCUCUCUUGCAACAAAAUUGAAGGCAAGAUUCCACAGUGGAUGCAAGAGGUGGGGAAUGGCUCUUUGACUUACUUAAACGUAUCUCACAACUAUUUGACAGAAGUUGAGCACUUUCCACGGAAGAAUAUUGAAGUUCUUGACUUAAGCUCCAAUUUGAUCAGUGGAAAUCUUCCGAUUCCAGCUUCGACCAUCAAUGUCUUUUUGAUCUCAAAUAAUAGUUUCAAUGGAGAGGUCUCUUCUUUAAUAUGCAAUGCCAGUUAUCUUAAAAUUCUUGAUUUGUCCCACAAUAACUUGAGUGGAACAAUUCCGCAAUGUUUUGGAAAUUUGAGCAACAGCCUUCAAUUCUUGAAUCUGAAGAAGAACAAGUUCUAUGGGACGAUUCCUCCAACAUUUGCAGAGGGAUGCCAAUUGACUAAUUUCAACAUAAAUGGAAAUCUGUUAGAAGGGCCUUUGACACCAUCCAUCCUUAAUUGUAAUGAACUGGAAGUGCUAGAUCUUGGUAACAACAAGAUCAAUGAUACAUUUCCUCAUUGGUUGGGCAGUCUUCCAUUUUUGCAAGUUCUUGUAUUGAAGUCAAAUCAUAUGCAUGGUUCCUUGCGUGUCAAUAGCUCCAAGUCUAGCCCUUUUUUCUCUAAAAUCCAAAUUUUUGAUCUCUCGAGUAAUUAUUUUUCUGGACCUCUACCUGUGAGAUACAUCAACAGCUUCAAGGCUAUCAUAAAUCUAGAUAAGAUUGGGAGUACAAUGUCGUACAUGGGGGUGUAUGCUCAGAGAGGUAGUGGCUUCUAUACCUAUUCCAUUGGAAUUGUUAUGAAAGGACAAGAUAUGGAAUUGGUGAAAAUUUUCACCAUGUGGAUGAUCAUUGAUCUAUCAAACAAUCAGUUUGAAGGGUGUAUUCCAGAGGUUUUUGGGAAGCUUAACUUACUGAAAGGGCUCAACCUUUCUCAUAACAACCUUCAUGGUGGUAUCCCCACCUCAAUAGGGAAUUUGACAAGUCUUGAAUGGUUGGACCUAUCUUCAAACAGGUUGUCUGGGACGAUUCCAAAUAGAUUGGCAGAUCUGGCAUUUCUUUCGUCCUUCAAUGUUUCUGAUAAUCAGCUCCAUGGUCAGAUUCCUCAAGGCAAACAGUUCAACACAUUUGGAAAUGAUUCAUAUGAAGGAAACAAGGGAUUAUGUGGAUUUCCAGUCUCGAAAGGUUGCAACAUCAUUGAGCCACCACCUCCAAAUGUGCUUGAAAAAGAUGGCUCAAAAUCAAACAUUACUUUUGGUUGGAAAGUGGUGUUGAUAGGUUAUGGAUGCGGAGUGGUGUUGGGAAUGUCCGUGGGAUAUGUUGUUUUCCAAACUGGUAAGCCGAAAUGGUUGGUGAAUUUGGUUGAAAUCCAACAUGAGAAGAAGCAAAGACGAAAGUCAAAGAAAGGCAAUCGAAGCAAUAGACGAAGAAGGAUCUAAGUACAGCAAAUGAUGUUCAAGAAUUAGUGUUGUAUUUUCAAAAUUUCUUGUUCUGUAGACCGUUUUGCCCAUGGUGAAGGGUUGCAUUGGUAUGUGUAUGUCUUUAUUAUUGUACCAAUUCCUGUCUUUCAUUGCAUUUCGUACUAUCUGUAAUGGUUUGUUUGAGUGUAACAUUUUGUAUGGUAUUGUUGUUUAUGUCUUCUUUCAUGACUUUCCAUUUAGUCUCGAUAAUCUUUGCUACUGCUCAGUAAAGGAGGAAGGAGAAUAAAAUGUCUCAAUUUAUGUCAAUUUAUGCUUGCAGAUUUGACGUGGAAUGUUGUUGAACUGAAGGUUGUUUAACUUUUGUCUUCUAAGCUAUACAUGAACAUAUGGGAUGUGACAAAUAUUAUUUUAGCUUUUGCUUAUGAAAUGUUGAAAUAGUGAGUUUAUAUUCCUUGAUUAAUAAAAAGUGAGAUGGAGAUAGUCAAACCUCAAUUUCCACAUUGAAAUUGAAUCCAAACAUUAAUUGGUGGAUCACAUGUCUUGUAUUCUGUCAAGUUAAAGGGAGUGAAUAGAGCACCAUUCUUCUUCUGCGUGGAAAAUAAGUUGGCGUUAUGCCAAUUUUCACAUUCAUACAUAUAAAGGAAGCAAGACCAAGUCAAUAUACUUUGUAAUCUCAUCAUUUCUUCUUCAUUCUUUAGGGAGUUCAAAUGAAAUACAAAUUUUUGGUAAAUCAACUCUUCUUUUUUAUGAAUAAAAAUUAUAUGGUAAAAAGGAAGUGGUGUUAAUAAUAAUAAUAAUAAUAAUAAUAACAACAACAAUACAAAACUAAUAAAGCAAUUUAGUCUAUGAUUUGCACAAUGAUUAAUGUAGCGACCUAAAAAUUUAGGCACGAGCGCUAAUUGAAGUGAUUAUUGAAAAUUUGAAAACAGAAUCUCGAUUUUAUUUGAAAAAGGAGUCGCUAUCGAUCUUUUUUUCUAGGUGUGAUCGGACACCUAAUAAAUUCUCUUUUUAGAAGAAAAAUUUAUUUUUAAAUUUUUCUAAAAAUAGGUAAUUUUUCUAAAAAAUUUAGGGGUCAAAAUGUAAUUUUUUAUUUUUUGAAUUUUUUUUGAAAUUUAAAAAAAUAUAUAUAUAUAAACACGACAAAACCCGGACAAAAUUUAGUGCUUACAAUUAAUACCUAAUUUGAUCCUUGAAUUAUAGUUCAAAAAGUAUUUUUAUAUUUUUAAAUUUUCAUAAAAAUAAUUGUAUCAAAAUUUAAAAAUCUUAAAAAUAAAUACAAAUUUUAUAUAAAAAAUCAAUUGGCCCAAGAAAAAAAAUUUACCAACUAAAUUUUCCAUAUCCAAACUCAUAAAUAAUUCUUCUUUGAACUUUCACAAAAAAAUAUUAAAUACCCUUUCACUUUAUCAUUAUAAAUAUAAUAUACAUUUUUUUCCUUCUUUUUCAUGUAGAUCAGCUUCAACUCUACUAUUCUUAGAUCAUUAUAAAUAUAAUAUAUGUUUUAUUUACAGCUGAAAGUAAAACCUUGAGUUGAAAUUUGGCAGAAAAAAUUGUGGGUUUGGAGAAGAAGAAGAGCACUUUGUAUUUAAAUUUAAAAAAUCAAAAAUUUCAAAACUGAAAGUUACUCAAAACCCUAAACAAUCUAAUAAUUGGAGUUAUAGAAAAGAAAUAUGAGUUUAGAAAUAAAUAAAACAAAAUAAAUUUGCAAAACAAUUUCUAGGCAAAACAACAUGAAGUUGUUGAUGUGAUUGAAGGUGUUCUUCAACGGUGGAAAACAAAUAGAAUUUAAUUUGAAAAUUUUAAGAUUUUUUAAAUAAUAAAAAAUUGCAUUAGUUUAAAAACUUUAGUUUUAAUUUUAAGAUAUUUUUAGAUUUAUACAUAUUUAAUUAUUUUUAGAUUUUUUAGAUUUAAAUGAAGUUACAAUUAUUUUUGAAAACGGUACCUCUACAUUUUUGAAGGUACAAGGAAAUAAAAUAUGGAUUUGGUAUCGAUACUUCGGCCCGAGUAUCAAUGCUCGAGGUAAGUUUAUUGAUACCUUGCGAAAGGUACCAAUAAUUUUUUUAUAUUUUGAUAUUUGGUAAGAAACAUAAUGUUAGUUUGGUAUCGAUUUUCCAUGAGAUAUCAAUACCACUUAAAGAAAAUAUCGAUAGCCCUAGGACAGUAUCAAUACCUAUGUAACAGUUUUAGAAAUUUUGCAACUGGGCCCAUUUGUAGGUUUGAUUGAUGUUUUUAAUACCCUUAGUGUAUGUAUGGCAUGUUUUAAUGAUAAGAAGUGGUUGAACGACUACAACUCAUACGUAGGAUUGAAUAAAGAUGAUGAUUGGUUACUUGUGAAAUUGUUUGCUAAGUAAAUGAUGCAUGAUGGUGGUGUAACAUCCUAAUAUUUCGGCUUGGCGACUGAGCCGAGUAUAGGGUGUUACAAUGUGUUCCACAAGUUUCAUCAGCAAUCCUCAAUGCAUCUAAUUAAUUGGGAAAAUUGAGAAAAUAGAAAUGGUCAAGAAGAUGUAACAUGAUGAGUACCUCUUUGCACCGUCAAGAAUUUUAGUAAGUCUCCAAAUUCAUUCAUUAACCCUCCUUCCUGUUAAAUAUUUAUCAUUAAUUUUAUUAAAUUAAAACAUAAAUUUUUAUAAAUCUAAAGUGUAAUUUAUGAGCCGGGUUAUUCAAUCCAAAAAAAAAAAAUCAGCCAAGACUCUUUGGACAAAUUGCUUGAGUAAAACCAGAAAAUGAAUAACAAUUUUGAUGGAUUUUGAUUACAAAUGAAUUGAGGCAUAAUGCCAUUACAUAUACCAUGCAUUCAGCUGGUCAAAAUGAGACAGACAUCACCUAAUCAUCAACCUAACUCCACUAAGUAGCCUUGAAACUUAUGAAAACAUAACUUGCACACAUAGGUACGCUGAUUUAUCAAUCUAUCAGCACCUAAUUACAUCAAACAUGUUACCAACUUAGUUCAAAUCAAACUAAGCAAGAAAACAUUAACUUAAAGUAACAAAAAAUGAACAGCAGCAUGAACUUCAGCUGCAACUGCAUGGCUGGAGCAGCUCUGCUUCUUGUCUGCAUGCCGGCCAACUUCAACAAGAUCUGAGUAAGGCUAAUUUGUCCAGAAGUUGCAUCAUGCAAAACUAUUUAAUGGCUUUUAGGUAGCUUUGUCAACGGCAAAAAAAAUGAGAAAAUUAGUCAAAUUUCUUCCAUUUUUAUCUUUAAAAAUUUGGUUUUGUGCGUCAACAUGAAGUACAUGUGGCACGUACAUGCAAACUGUCUGAUUAUUUAGACAUCUACACUAGUUUUUAAAGGUAAAAAUAGAAGAAAAUUUUAAUAAACAAGACCAAUUAACUCUUUUAUCUAGCAUACAAGAAUUAUUCUAUACAUCUUUCAAUAAAUGGGGAAAAUUACAUCCACACAUUCUCCACAUUUCAGACCUGUAAUUCUAGCCAAUUGGUCACAAGCAUACAUGUCCCAUUUCAAUAUUCAAAGGUCUGCUUUGAUUAUUUUAUUUUGUGUUCUGUUGUCGCCCCAAAAUAGUUCCACUUGGCACAUCUCCAUACAUUUCAAACAUACCAAAAAUCUGCUGGCAAGCAAUACAAGACAAGUUCCAGCCACUUCAACAUUUGGCUCCUGUUCAUUGCCAAAAGAAAAAAAUAAACAUUUUUUAUAUUUAAUUGAAGGUCAAAAACACAUAAAAAGACAACCGGACAGCUAGUAUUUCAUCCAAUCUUCACAACAUGUCUGUGUGCGUGCAGAUCCUUCACUUCCCAGAAGCCUUUAGCGCGUAUUCUAUUAUAAAAUCACAGAUUACUAUUUAAAUGAUAAAUAAAUUAUUUAAAGUAUGAAAAUAUACAUGUUUUUUUUUAUUGGCUUAAGGGCGUAAAAAAUCCUUAAAUUUUUUUUUUAAAAAAGACAAUUAAAUUUCUCCUUUUUUUACACUCAAUUGAGCACUUAAAGUUUUAAAAUGCAUCAAAAAUACUCUCAAACUUCUUCCGAAAAAACAAUUAAAUCCUUAUUUUCUUUCCCACUCAAUUGGGUGCUUGAACUUUUUCAUAAUAUUUUUUUGGGCGAUUUAAUGAACCAUACAAGUUUCAAGGCUAAAAGAGGCAAAAGAAAAAGAAAAAGAAAAAGAAGCUAAAAUGACUUUUUGUUUGUAAAGUCAAAAAAUACCAAAUAAAUCAUUAUGUCUUUUUAGUUUUAAUUUUUUACUUGAUUAAAAGAGAAAUAAUUAACGAAUGAAAAAUAGCUAUUCCUAAAUAAAUUUAUCAGAAUUUAUAACAAAUGAGAUUUUAGAUUUGAAGUAUGAGGUUAUAUAUAUUAUAUAAGUAUACCUGUUUUUAUGGAAUCGGUGGAUUAUAUUUUCGACAGUCUUCUUCCCCAAGCGUAGUGAAUAGAGCACAAUUUUGUUCUUUUGGAUGGAAAAGAAUUUCUACAUUAAUUAGAUUUGGUUGACAGGCAAAUGAAUAGAUACACACAUUUUUUACGUGUUAUUAAGGAAGAAGACUAAGUCAAUCUACUUUGUAAUCUCAUCAAUCUUAAUUUUUUUAGUUGUUUAGGGAGUUCAAAUGAAAUACAAGAUUUUGCUAUAAAAAAAAAAAGCAUCCAAUUUUAAGAAUGAAAAAUAUACGGUAAAAAGAAGACUAAUGGUUGUUGAUGAUUGUGAAAAAUACAAAAAUUAUUUGUUGCCUAUAAAUACCAUUCCUAUCCUUCAUCUUCCUCUACAAACAUAACAUGGCCUCCUAUCUCUUUCUCUGCCUAUUCCUCUUCUUUCCCCAUCUUUAUGCUUCUUUUUCUUCUUCAGGAUCUCACUCCUGCUCUUCGCUAAUCCAGUUCAAGAAUUCUUUUUCCAUCACUCAGACAGAUGUUGCUUCUUCUUAUUGCGAUGAUCAAUCUUAUCCCAAGACAGAUUCAUGGAAGGAGGGUACAGAUUGCUGCUCAUGGGAUGGGGUCACUUGUGACCACCUAAAUGCUCGUGUUAUUGUCCUUGACUUGAGUUGCAGUUGGCUAUAUGGCAACUUCCCUUCCAAUACCACUCUCUUCCUUCUUCCUCACCUUCAAAAACUCAACCUUGCCUACAAUUAUUUUAAUCUUUCCAAAAUUCCAUCCGAGUUCGGUCGGUUUAUAAGCCUAUUCUACCUCAACCUUUCCAAUACAGGGUUUGCAGGAGAAGUCCCAUCCCAAGUCUCCCACCUGUCAAAAUUGGUUUCACUUGAUCUCUCCUGUCGGGCUGAUGCACAAACAAUUGACAAACAUGCUCUGGAGGGACUUGUUCACAACCUAACCGAGGUCAGACAUCUGUUUUUGGAUGGAAUCAACAUGUCUUCUGUUAAUGCUCAUGUCUUCAUGAAUCUAUCCUCUUCUCUAAGGUCUCUCAGUCUUGCUUUUUGUGAUUUGCAAGGAAAAUUCCCAAAAAACAUUUUUGAUUUGCCAAAC
rnacentral:lncRNA from 1 species